GGUCGAGUGGUCUAGUGGUAUGAUUCCUCUUUCGGGUAGAGGAGGUCCCGGGUUCAAUCCCCGGCUCGACCC
rnacentral:tRNA from 1 species